GACGAACGCUGGCGGCGUGCUUAACACAUGCAAGUCGAACGGAAAGGCCUUUUCGGAGGUACUCGAGUGGCGAACGGGUGAGUAACACGUGGGUGAUCUGCCCUGCACUCUGGGAUAAGCCUGGGAAACUGGGUCUAAUACCGGAUAGGACCGCACUUUAGUGUGUGUGGUGGAAAGUUUUUUCGGUGUAGGAUGAGCCCGCGGCCUAUCAGCUUGUUGGUGGGGUAAUGGCCUACCAAGGCGGCGACGGGUAGCCGGACUGAGAGGUUGGUCGGCCACAUUGGGACUGAGAUACGGCCCAGACUCCUACGGGAGGCAGCAGUGGGGAAUAUUGCACAAUGGGCGCAAGCCUGAUGCAGCGACGCCGCGUGGGGGAUGACGGCCUUCUGGUUGUAAACUCCUUUCGCCAGGGACGAAGCGUUUUGUGACGGUACCUGGAGAAGAAGCACCGGCUAACUACGUG
rnacentral:rRNA from 1 species